UGGGUGGAGCCUCUACUCACUCUCUUGUAUGCUGAGUUGCAGUGAGGUCAAGUCCUGCUAGAGUGUGUCUGGAGUCCAGAGGAGGCCUAAAGUCAGUCAAGCAGCCACAGAUUCUCAAGUCCAUUGCCCCACAGGUCAAGUCAAAACCUGGUGUCACAGGAUGCACUACUAAAAUAAAUCCAAUCCAUUACGGGCGCGGACGCCAUUACCGACAACAUUAGUGCUCUCCCGAGAGGCAGGAAAUUGCAUUUUUCUAAUAAUUGUGGCCUUCUAGAUCAUCUUGGAUAUCCUCUACCAUCCAGUUUUUCGUUUACUUCCAGUUCUUCAUGGUUUUUUCUUCCAUUGACUGUUCUUCAUGACCAUGAACCGAUGGUUUAUCUUCGUAUCUCCUAGUUAUGGAAAGAAGUUCCUAUUUAUCUUCUACUUCAUCAGCCCUGUAUUUUCAAGUUACGUCUUCUACACGUCUUACCUUCUACGUUUAACGCAAAGAAAGAGGAGGAGCUACAGUUUCAACGGAUUAUAUGUUAUAGACUACAUUCUGAUUGGUUACUAUACCUAUCAUAUGUCAUGUUUGGUUGCGCAAAAGUUUUUUGCUCUGUAUUCUAUAGACUGAUGCUUUGCUGCUGUGUCAGUAAA